rnacentral:rRNA from 1 species
GGUCAAUGAACGCAGCUGAUGCAGCCAUGCCGCGUGUGUGAAGAAGGCCUUCGGGUUGUAAAGCUCUUUCCUCAGGGAGGAAAGGGUGACUCCUAAUACGGGACCGCUGUGACGUUACCCACAGAAAAAGCACCGGCUAACACCGUGCCAGCAGCCGCGGUAAUA